rnacentral:rRNA from 1 species
GACGAACGCUGGCGGCGUGCUUAACACAUGCAAGUCGAACGCUGAAGCUUGGUGCUUGCACUGGGUGGAUGAGUGGCGAACGGGUGAGUAAUACGUGAGUAACCUGCCCUUGACUCUGGGAUAAGCCUGGGAAACUGGGUCUAAUACUGGAUACGACAUGUCACCGCAUGGUGGUGUGUGGAAAGGGUUUUACUGGUUUUGGAUGGGCUCACGGCCUAUCAGCUUGUUGGUGGGGUAAUGGCUCACCAAGGCGACGACGGGUAGCCGGCCUGAGAGGGUGACCGGCCACACUGGGACUGAGACACGGCCCAGACUCCUACAGGAGGCAGCAGUGGGGAAUAUUGCACAAUGGGCGGAAGCCUGAUGCAGCGACGCCGCGUGAGGGAUGACGGCCUUCGGGUUGUAAACCUCUUUCAGCACGGAAGAAGCGAAAGUGACGGUACGUGCAGAAGAAGCGCCGGCUAACUACGUG